GAUGAACGCUGGCGGCGUGCCUAAUACAUGCAAGUCGAGCGAACGGACGAGAAGCUUGCUUCUCUGAUGUUAGCGGCGGACGGGUGAGUAACACGUGGAUAACCUACCUAUAAGACUGGGAUAACUUCGGGAAACCGGAGCUAAUACCGGAUAAUAUUUUGAACCGCAUGGUUCAAAAGUGAAAGACGGUCUUGCUGUCACUUAUAGAUGGAUCCGCGCUGCAUUAGCUAGUUGGUAAGGUAACGGCUUACCAAGGCAACGAUGCAUAGCCGACCUGAGAGGGUGAUCGGCCACACUGGAACUGAGACACGGUCCAGACUCCUACGGGAGGCAGCAGUAGGGAAUCUUCCGCAAUGGGCGAAAGCCUGACGGAGCAACGCCGCGUGAGUGAUGAAGGUCUUCGGAUCGUANAACUCUGUUAUUAGGGAAGAACAUAUGUGUAAGUAACUGUGCACAUCUUGACGGUACCUAAUCAGAAAGCCACGGCUAACUACGUGCCAGCAGCCGCGGUAAUACGUAGGUGGCAAGCGUUAUCCGGAAUUUAUGGCGUAAGCGCGCGUAGGCGGUUUUUUAAGUCUGAUGUGAAAGCCCACGGCUCACCCGUGGAGGGUCAUUGGAAACUGGAAAACUUGAGUGCAGAAGAGGAAAGUGGAAUUCCAUGUGUAGCGGUGAAAUGCGCAGAGAUAUGGAGGAACACCAGUGGCGAAGGCGACUUUCUGGUCUGUAACUGACGCUGAUGUGCGAAAGCGUGGGGAUCAAACAGGAUUAGAUACCCUGGUAGUCCACGCCGUAAACGAUGAGUGCUAAGUGUUAGGGGGUUUCCGCCCCUUAGUGCUGCAGCUAACGCAUUAAGCACUCCGCCUGGGGAGUACGACCGCAAGGUUGAAACUCAAAGGAAUUGACGGGGACCCGCACAAGCGGUGGAGCAUGUGGUUUAAUUCGAAGCAACGCGAAGAACCUUACCAAAUCUUGACAUCCUUUGACAACUCUAGAGAUAGAGCCUUCCCCUUCGGGGGACAAAGUGACAGGUGGUGCAUGGUUGUCGUCAGCUCGUGUCGUGAGAUGUUGGGUUAAGUCCCGCAACGAGCGCAACCCUUAAGCUUAGUUGCCAUCAUUAAGUUGGGCACUCUAAGUUGACUGCCGGUGACAAACCGGAGGAAGGUGGGGAUGACGUCAAAUCAUCAUGCCCCUUAUGAUUUGGGCUACACACGUGCUACAAUGGACAAUACAAAGGGCAGCGAAACCGCGAGGUCAAGCAAAUCCCAUAAAGUUGUUCUCAGUUCGGAUUGUAGUCUGCAACUCGACUACAUGAAGCUGGAAUCGCUAGUAAUCGUAGAUCAGCAUGCUACGGUGAAUACGUUCCCGGGUCU
rnacentral:rRNA from 1 species